rnacentral:rRNA from 1 species
GACAGAACCACUGGUCCGUCGCUUCCGUGUCACGAGCACACGACCGGCGGUUGAGCUGGGGGCGUGAGUCAGACCGGGAGGAACCAUCCGGAUCCGCCCCGUUCCUUCCUUCCUUCCGACCCACGGCGAGCGAGGAGACCCACCUCGCCGUCUCACUCCCGUUCCACCGCCACCGUCGCCUCCUCGCCCCCUUCCCUCGCCGGCGCCCCCGAAUUCGAAGCGGCGCGCAUGGCGAGGCCCGAGGAGAGCUGGGCGCGGAACACGUCCCCGGGGGACGACGCGUCCACGAGCCACGCGCCCCACCCGGAGGGCGCCUCGCCGGACUUGCUGCGGAACACGCCGUCCAACAUCGCUAGGCUCGAGGACGCGAUCGAGAACUGCGCCGCCCGCCGCAAGUACCUCGCUCGCACCAAGAGCCCCUCCGACGGCGAGGACGUCCGCUGGUACUUCUGCAAGCUCCCCCUCGGGGACAGAGUGCUCUCUUCUUCAGUUCCACGGACGGAGAUAGUUGGGAAAGGAGACUAUUUCAGGUUCAGCAUGAGGGACUGUUUGGCGUUGGAGGCGUCUUUCUUAGAGAGAGAAGAAUCACUACUUGGGUACUGGUGGAGGGAGUAUGCGGAAUGCAGUGAAGGGCCAACAGGUUCCUUGGUUAAAGCUGAUAUGUCAGACUCUGAAUAUUUGUAUAAGGUGGAGGAGGAGCGGGUUGGGGUUCCUGUGAAAGGUGGACUAUAUGAGGUUGAUUUGAUGAGACGUCAUUGCUUCCCUGUAUAUUGGAAUGGUGAGAAUAGACGUGUUUUGAGAGGCCACUGGUUUGCUCGAAAAGGAGGUCUCGAUUGGAUUCCCUUGCGUGAAGAUGUUUCUGAACAACUUGAGUUAGCAUAUAAGUACCAGGUCUGGCAUCGUCGUAAAUUUCAACCUUCAGGCCUGUUUGCUGCGCGGGUCGAUCUCCAAGGAAGUACACCGGGAUUGCAUGCUCUUUUUACAGGAGAGGAUGAUACUUGGGAAGCUUGGCUUGUCUUUGAUACAGGUCCUAAACUAGGCAGCAACACAAUCAAAUUAAGGCGUGGUUUCUCUUCUUCUGGAUCUGCAAAUCCUACCCAGGAUGAGUUGCGUCAACAGAAAGAAGAGGAAACAGAUGAUUACUGCUCUCAGGUUCCAGUUGGUCAUUUGGUAUUCAUGGUUCAUGGUAUCGGACAGAGAUUGGAAAAAGCUAAUCUUGUUGAUGAUGUAGUCGAUUUCCGCCGUGUGACCGCUAACCUAGCCGAUAGAUACUUAACUCCUUAUCAAAGAAGUACACAGAGGGUCCUAUUUAUUCCCUGUCAGUGGAGGAAGAGUUUAAAGCUCGGUGGUGAAAACACAGUCGAGAAGAUCACUUUGGAUGGAGUUAAAGGUCUUCGCGUAGCGUUAGGUGCCACCGUUCAUGAUGUUCUAUAUUACAUGAGUCCUAUCUACUGUCAGCAUAUAAUUGACUCGGUCUCGGGUCAGCUGAACCAACUGUAUAUGAAGUUUCUGAAGAGAAAUCCUGGUUACAGUGGAAAGGUAUCAUUAUAUGGCCAUUCGUUGGGAAGUGUUCUAACGUAUGAUAUACUUUGCCACCAAGAAUCCCUUUCUGCCCCAUUUCCAACAGAUUAUUUUAAGAUGGAAGUUUCGUCUGAUGAAGGCCAAGUAGGAAAAGGACCCAACACAAUUGAUGUUAUUGACUCUGGUGUAAAAGAGCAUGAUACUUCUUCCACUUCAGGGCAUUCAUGUGUAGAUAAUGUAAAUCGUGUGGAUCAAGAGAGCACCAGAACUGAUCAUUCACUUACAGACAAGACUGUUCUGCCAUGUGUGCUUGAAAAUGUGCCAAACAAUGAUGAUGCACUUGAAUCACCUAUUCCAGUUGAUGGGGUGCAAACUGAAGUCGAAAAUCAGGUUGAGAAUCAUCAAAUGACAUAUACUGAAGGAGCUACUCCAGCUGUAAGCACAAAAGAUGCUGAUGAGUGCAUUUCAAGAUCCGCCAAGGAACUCCAUGUGGUCCCUGACAAAGACAGAUUAAUCUCAUCACUAGAAGAAGAGGUGAGCCAUCUUAAAGCUAAACUAGCGGAACUUGAGCGACAGAGUGAUUCAGUGAUUCAAAGCAUCAGUAGUGUUCAGUCUCAUCAAGAUAAAGAUGCUAAUGAUACAGUGAGCCUAGUAUCAGGCAAACUUAACAUAGGGCAAGGUAGCACAAGUCAGUCCUACAGACCACGUAUUAGAUACACUAAACUAAAUUUUAAGGUUGACACAUUCUUUGCUGUUGGAUCCCCUUUGGGAGUCUUCCUGUCGCUGCGGAAUGUCCGUAUUGGUGUUGGCAGGGGACAAGAUUAUUGGCAAGACAAGAACGUUGUUGAAGAGAUGCCAUGCUGCAGGCAGAUGUUCAACGUUUUUCAUCCUUUCGAUCCUGUAGCAUACAGAGUUGAACCACUUGUAUGUGAAGAUUAUGUGAACAAGCGCCCUGUUGUUAUACCCUACCAUAGAGGCGGAAAGAGGAUACAUGUUGGAGUGCAGGAGUUCACAGAAGACGUUGCUGCACGUUCUCAGGCUAUUGCCCGUCAAUUCAAGUCAUUGAAGGUCAAAGCGGUAGCUGCCUUGUUAUCACUGAGCAAAAAUGACACGGAAGAGGACGAUGAGAGCACCAAGGAGGAGGAGAGAUCAUAUGGUUCCAUGAUGAUGGAAAGGCUGACUGGUUCACCGGAUGGUCGAGUUGAUCAUGUGCUUCAGGAGAAAACAUUUCAACAUCCAUAUUUAUCCGCUCUGGGAUCUCAUACCAACUACUGGCGGGAUCAUGAUACUGCUCUCUUCAUUAUCAAACAUUUGUACCGUGAUAUACCUGAAGAACCUCCAACUGAUGGAACUGGAAGUGCACCCAUUAGACUGUUCUAUGUGAGGGAUCCAAUUGCUGAAGACACUCCCCUGACAUUUUCAGACCACUCCUCAGUUAAGGAAUUCUCCAGAAAGGUGAAAACUUACUCGAGAAAGGGGGAGGAUGAUGCAAACUGUGAAGCCUCUUGAUGGUGACCGCUGUAUGUUGCAACGUGAUAUCGUCUUACGAUUUUCACCUAGCAGAAGUGUUCCGCCAGAAGAAAAAACCCCUAGCAGAAGUGUGAUGUACAUAAAAGCACCUGGCAUAGAGGGACGCAUUGCACAGUUUGGGAGAAAAGGGGGAUACAUUGCUGGUGUGCAUCCUUGUCACUUAGGCACCACAGAUCAGAGCCAUAGCACACUUGCGGGGUGAAUGGAUGUUGCACAUAGAAUUAUGGGCCGCCACAUGCUGUGUAUAACUUGUUUACCCGUGUCUCUAGCAGUAAUUUUGUACGUACAUAUACAGAUAUAAACGGGAGAGAGAGUGUAAAAAAGAGCGAUUAGAUUUGAGCGGUUGAACACCAGGUGGAAAAACAGAGGUGCAUUCAGUGGAGCACGUCCGAUGGCGAUUGCGCCGGCACGAGCGAGCAGAUGUGCAUUCUCACCUCAUGUGUAUAGAGUAAAGAGCUUUUGCCCAAUGUCAAGUUCUCCAACCGGCUGUAAUACAAACAUCAAAGGACAAAAGGAGUCGUCACCAACGCCAUCUGUCGAAGUCUCAAGGAAAUACCCAACCCAAUGUACACUUGACUUUUGUCCCCUGGCAUCAGUUGAAUGAUAAUCUCUCUCGCGUGUCAUGGAAUACUCGGUCAAGAAACAGCUGGGCUUGAUUUGUGAUAAUAAUAAACGUUGGUUGAUAUGGAACGAAACUGGAUUGUCCUAAGUGUUGUAGAGACGGUCAGUCGGCUGCCUGUAAUAAUCUCUGCCACGUUGACGGCCGUGUCCCAUCCCUAUCAUGCCUACAGUUUUGGUCAGCCGCACAAUUUGACGCAAACGCGAUUUGCCUGGGCUGGUUUGACCGUUUGACGUGGUCACUCCCCUCCCGCCUGCAACCAAGAACCAACCUACGCACUGCACAGGUGCACUACACGUGCAUGCGCCUGACUUGCUCCAAGCCUCCAACUGAUCCCUAAUUACUUCCAUCCAUGUGUCUGCCUGCUUGCUUGUGUGCAAGAGACACUGCCCCGAGUUUUCUCUUAUGGAGGCCCUGUGCUUGUAGUUAUCCAUGCAUGCGGGGUGCUUGGUCGGCUGGAGAGAUGAGAUGGCCUCGUCCACCUUACAUAAUGAUGCGAGAGCGUGAGUGAUCAGCAGAAUGAUUGGAUGACAUGUAUAUAGUUCCCCG